UACAGAGGGGGCAAGCGUUGUUCGGAAUUACUGGGCGUAAAGGGCGCGUAGGCGGCCUGCUAAGUCGAACGUGAAAUCCCCGGGCUCAACCCGGGAACUGCGUCCGAUACUGGUGGGCUUGAAUCCGGGAGAGGGAUGUGGAAUUCCAGGUGUAGCGGUGAAAUGCGUAGAUAUCUGGAGGAACACCCGUGGCGAAAGCGGCGCGCUGGACCACUACUGACGCUGAGGAACGAAAGCUAGGGGAGCAAACAGG
rnacentral:rRNA from 1 species